UUCACGGAGAGUUUGAUCCUGGCUCAGGACGAACGCUGGCGGCGUGCUUAACACAUGCAAGUCGAACGAUGAACCGCUUUCGGGCGGGGAUUAGUGGCGAACGGGUGAGUAACACGUGGGCAAUCUGCCCUGCACUCUGGGACAAGCCCUGGAAACGGGGUCUAAUACCGGAUAUGACCGUCUGCCGCAUGGUGGAUGGUGUAAAGCUCCGGCGGUGCAGGAUGAGCCCGCGGCCUAUCAGCUUGUUGGUGAGGUAGUGGCUCACCAAGGCGACGACGGGUAGCCGGCCUGAGAGGGCGACCGGCCACACUGGGACUGAGACACGGCCCAGACUCCUACGGGAGGCAGCAGUGGGGAAUAUUGCACAAUGGGCGAAAGCCUGAUGCAGCGACGCCGCGUGAGGGAUGACGGCCUUCGGGUUGUAAACCUCUUUCAGCAGGGAAGAAGCGAAAGUGACGGUACCUGCAGAAGAAGCGCCGGCUAACUACGUGCCAGCAGCCGCGGUAAUACGUAGGGCGCAAGCGUUGUCCGGAAUUAUUGGGCGUAAAGAGCUCGUAGGCGGCUUGUCACGUCG
rnacentral:rRNA from 1 species